UAGGGAAUCUUCGGCAAUGGACGAAAGUCUGACCGAGCAACGCCGCGUGAGUGAAGAAGGUUUUCGGAUCGUAAAACUCUGUUGUUAGAGAAGAACAAGGACGUUAGUAACUGAACGUCCCCUGACGGUAUCUAACCAGAAAGCCACGGCUAACUACGUGCCAGCAGCCGCGGUAAUACGUAGGUGGCAAGCGUUGUCCGGAUUUAUUGGGCGUAAAGCGAGCGCAGGCGGUUUCUUAAGUCUGAUGUGAAAGCCCCCGGCUCAACCGGGGAGGGUCAUUGGAAACUGGGAGACGUGAGUGCAGAAGAGGAGAGUGGAAUUCCAUGUGUAGCGGUGAAAUGCGUAGAUAUAUGGAGGAACACCAGUGGCGAAGGCGGCUCUCUGGUCUGUAACUGACGCUGAGGAUCGAAAGCGUGGGGAGCAAACAGG
rnacentral:rRNA from 1 species